UACAGAGGGUGCAAGCGUUGUUCGGAAUUAUUGGGCGUAAAGGGUGCGUAGGCGGUCUGUCGCGUCUGCUGUGAAAACUCGGGGCUUAACCCCGGGCCUGCAGUGGGUACGGGCAGACUAGAGUGCGGUAGGGGAGACUGGAAUUCCUGGUGUAGCGGUGAAAUGCGCAGAUAUCAGGAGGAACACCGAUGGCGAAGGCAGGUCUCUGGGCAUUAACUGACGCUGAGGAGCGAAAGCAUGGGGAGCGAACAGG
rnacentral:rRNA from 1 species